GUCUUCUGAUAAAGCUUUUGUGGCCAUAAAGCAAGAGUUCCACUUGGCAGAUCUUCUUCAGGAUGAGGAUCAGGGUGUGGUCUCCAGGUAGAAGAGAAAAUUCCUUCCAGAUGAACCAGUAGUGCUGAGAGCUGGUGUUUUUUCAGGGUCCUGUCUAUAGCAAGAUGCUCUCUUGGUGUAGGACUUGUGUUUCUUUUACCUACAGAAGAAACUAAGAUCACACCUUCAAUGAAGUUUCACAGUGAUUCAGAAUGGGAGAAAACCCUGGAGGAGAAAGGUGGUGUCCGUUUGGCCACCCUCUUCCAGCUCUAGUAGGAUCACCUGAGCUAUCUAGCCUGAGGGUGGGGGUGGGGCAGAGGUGUUCAGGUUUUGAGUUUUUUCCCAGAGCUCCAGAUCUAAACCUCACUAUUAAGUUAGAUCUCACUGGUCCCACCUUUGCAGGAGCUGAAUUUCAGCACCUUGACAGUUUGCUAAGGGGUCGGGGUAGGCUUCAUCUUGUAACUAAUUCAAGAGCUUUUUUGGGACCUACACCUGAGAGCAGGGCACCAUGGGCUUCUGCCUAAUUACUCAGCACCAAUGCCAGCGCCACCUCCUGCGACGGCUGUCCCACUACAGAAACUAGGAACUAAGUGGGGGAAUAGACAUGGUGCAAAUGACUUCCUGGGUUCUAAAAGGAUUUGGUUUGGAAAGUGCCCGAGUGCUUACAACCAGAAGCAGGACUCAGGGAGAAAAAGAUUUAAAAAAAAAUAAAUGGUCUCAUGUUGUAUCGC
rnacentral:lncRNA from 1 species